GUUUCUGUGGUUGAAGUACAACGGCGGCUUUUCAGGCCGUAGGUCUUGGAGAGGAGCCAAGCAGAAACU
rnacentral:tRNA from 1 species